CCGCCCGGCCCCUCCCUGCCUCCUGGCCCCCGCGUCCUGCGGCCCAGCCCCUCCCUGGCGCUCACCUCCCUACAGCCUUCCGGGAGCUGGACGGGGCCUCCCCAGCUUUGGGCAGCUUGGGACAGUGGCCCGAGACUGUGGGAAUCCGAAACCUCGCUUCUGGCUAGCCACAAGGUCUGGGCGCGCCCCAGGCAGCAGGGUCUUGACUCUGAGCCUCCGUUUUCUCAUCCGGGAAGUGGGCUUAAGACGCUGUGAUUGGGAGGACAGGAGGAGUUUAGGGAAGCUCUCUUGGCUCACUCACCAAGUCUUACUUUGCAUUUGGUUUUCUAUGUGCUUGUUCGAUUUAUCCUCCCAUACUAGGCAGAUUCAGCCUCUUGUUUGUUUUGGGCACAGGGCGGUGCCUGCCAUGUUUGUGGAAGGAAUAAAUGAAUGGAAUGGAAUGGGCUGCAACAGCCUGUGCUUGGCUAGUCCAGAGAGCUCAAUUCCACAUCACUGUAACCCCUAAGAAUUGUCUGCCCAAGUCCACGCCACACCCUCUCAGGUCACUGAUCUGAUUCUGUGUGCUACUCAUCCUCCAGGCUGCAUCCCCCAGCUGCUCACAGGUAGAGGGACCUCUUAUCUAAACAGUAAAACUAAGGCCCGGAAAGGGAGGCACCUGUCCCACCUCCCUAGGGGUUGGGAACAGAGGCAAGGACCAGGUCUAUGCCCUCACCCCCUGAUCUUAGUUCUUCACUGAUUUUGGAGUAUGAAGUUUGCUCCCACAGAGGCCAUCAUGUUUGGGUGCUGGGAUGGUGCCCUGGGGUCCCCUGGGCUCAGAACAGAGGAAGGGCUCAGUAAACAUUUGGUAUUGGGACUGGGUGGAACGUGGCAGGGAUUUGUGGGGCUGGGCAAGAGUAUAGAUGGAGGUUCACAUACCAUAUGUCCAAAUAUUUGCAGGCUAUAAAUCAAGCUAACAAAAUGCAAAAUAAAUUAUGUUCUAUUCUUCUAUCUUGACAAAUACACUUUCCUAACAAGGCAGAAAGCUGGCUUUGAGUGUGGCAUUCUCAUACUCCUCAGACCUUGCCCUGGAGCUGGUGGCACAGGGAGAGGGGGCCCCUAGUGCCUGGCCUGGGCCCCUGCCCCCUACCUUUUCCUACCUCUGCCUCUGUCCUGUCCUUCGAGAGUCUUGUGCACAUUCAUGAACAUCUCAGCCUGCACAUGCAAGCUCAGCCCCUUGGUAGCCCCUCAGGCUUAGGGCUGGGCACGCCAGUGGUGUACUCUGUCCUCGGGCUGGAUCUGCGGAAGAGACCCACGCAGGUCCUGGCAGUGGGCUAAGGGCCAUCUCUGCAGGGAACCCCAGGGGCCUGGGCACCCAGAGUAUGCUCUAGUGGAGGUGCCACAAGUUCCAGGUGGGCAUGUCCCCUUGUCCCAUGGUCUUCCCUCCUUGUGAUGAGAGGUUAGCUGGAGGAGGGCCAGACUGGGGGGGUCCCCAGGGCAGGGGCCACUCUCACCUGUGUUUAAGGGUGGUACUGAAGUGCUGACCUAUUUUGAACCAGCAUAUUCACUUCCUGGAGACUCAGUAUGGUAUGGUGGAAAAUAAUAAUAACAACGAUAAUAAUUUAGAUGGCAACAGGUAAUUAUGUUAGGAUGGCCAUAUAAUUUUCUUCCAAACCAGGAUGUUUUCAAGAGUGACGGGGGGCUCUAACUGGAAGAUUUGCCAGGCUACCAGGCAUAGACCAAGACUGUGCCAGGCCACCUAGGAUGCACUGUGCCACUCAAAUGUUGUGCCCUGGUAUGUCAGGCACUGUUCUUAGUGCUUUACACGCUUUGACUCAUUCAAUCGUUGCAACAAAUCUAGGAAGUACGUACUGUUAUCACCCUCAUUUUACAGAUGAAGACACCAGGUUACUUGCUUAAGGAAAGUGGUGGACCUGGGACUCCAGAGCCACAUCCCCGGCUCCCAUACCAUCCUGAGCCUGGGACUCAGGUGUUUGGGCUUAAGCCCCUGUCCCAAAGCACAUGACACUUGACCUUUGGGAAGCUGCAGGACCUUCAGUUUCUGUAUCCAUCAGGUGGGAACAAUGUUACCUGGCUUGCCUUCUCCUGGGGUGCUGGGAGAUGCAUAUGAGUGGGUGUGUGUGAGCCCCACGAGCAGGAUCAAGCUGAGCCCAGGAGGGAGAGAACUGGAGCCAUCAGAAAGUGUCUCCCUGAGCUGUGCUGUGAUAAUGGAGAGGAGGAGCCCUUUGCUCUGAGUCAGUGGAAAUUCUUUUUUUUUUUUUUUUUUUUUUUUUUGAGACGGAGUCUCCCUCUGUCGCCCAGGCUGGAGUGCAGUGGUGUGAUCUCGGCUCACUGCAAGCUCCGCCUCCCGGGUUCAACUGAUUCUCCUGCCUCAGCCUCCUGAGUAGCUGGGACUACAGGUGCGUGCCACCAUGCCAAGCUAAUUUUUGUAUUUUUUUAGUAGAGACGGGGUUUCACCAUGUUGGCCAGGAUGGUCUCGAUCUCUUGACCUCGUGAUCCACCUGCCUCGGCCUCCCAAAGUGCUAGGAUUACAGGCAUGAGCCACCUUGCCUGGCCGGAAAUUCUUAAUGAGAAAGUCUCUUGGAGGAAAUGCUCUUCUAACUUUCAAGAACAGCCCAACUGUGAAGAUAUCAAUGCAAAUUAACUAAAAAGUCAAAUUGUCAAUAGCUCUUUAAUGUCAGUAGUAAGAGUGCAUCUGGUACUUUCUAUAUAUACCAGCCACUGUUCCAAGUGCUUUGCCUGUUCGCAUUAACUCAUGGAAUCUUGGCCACGGCUCUAGGAAGUAGAUACUGUUCUUAGUUCCAUUUACAGGAGGGGAAGCCCAUGUGUGGCUCUAAAACUGCUAUAAGACAUAUUAACAACCCUAUUACAUAGGUUAAGAUUAUUGUUAUUCCCAUUUUACAUAUGGAGAAACUGAGGCACAGAGAGUUCAAGUGGAUUGCCUAAAGUCACCCAGGUAGCAGCACAGCCAGGGUUUGGAAGCAGGUGGUCUGGGCACUGAGCGAGCACAAAGCUGUUCAAUGGACAAAAGUCUUCCACAUGUCAGAAUUAAUGUCUGUGUUCAGAAGGGGAAGCUCAUGGGGUUUCUGUAGACUCUUCCUGGGGGUUACUUUAAACCCUCAAAAUCCAAGGCAGAGCCCUCCACACCAUAUCCCUCUCUGUGCCCAGCACCAUGAGUACCUCACACAUAAUAGAAUGGGAACAUAUCUUUCUUGAAGGGACCAAUUCCUUAACUUCCUGAGCGGCCCAUUUUUGGAAUUAGUUCUCCCUCCUUAAUAACUAUGAAAAUUCACUGAGGAAGGGAAACCCAGUCAAGUUUUUAAUCAGAAAGAAUCACAUUCAGUGUGUCUAAGUUAUCACCAGCUCUUAGGGAGUGGGCCCAAAGCAACGUGGUUGGAUGUUUCUCCAGCUCAGUCCUGGAAGCACCUGGUAACGGAGUGUCAGGUCAGCUGGUGACCAGGAUUUCUAGUCCAAUUUCCCAGAUUUGUGAGGUGAAGAAACUGGGGGCACUAGGCUCAGGGUCUAGAAAAUUCUUUUUUUUUUUUUUUGAGAUGGAGUCUUGCUCUUGUCACUCAGGCUGGAGUGCAAUGGCGCGAUCUCAGCUCACUGCAACCUCUGCCUCCCAGGGCCCAAGCGAUUCUCCUGCCUCAGCCUCCAGAGUAGCUGGGAUUAUAGGUGCCUGCCACUUCGCCCAGCUAAUUAGGGUCUAGAAAAGUCUUAAUGCCUAUCCGUGCACUUUGCAAGGAAAUAAAAGGUACUUUCUUCCCGUGCCACUCUGGUCUACAUGUGUUGGGCUUUGGCUGGGCAUAUCUGCACAGGCGUCUCCUCCAAGGCUGUUCACCCUGACCAGGGAGGGAACGGGAAACCUGGUCAGUCCCAGCCAGCCAUCCAUGUAUGUGCGGCCCUCGGCAAGUCCUUGCUCCUCUCUGGGACUGGCAUUUGCUCCUUAAAGACUCUUGUGGGAUCUAGAGAAGCAGUGAAGUGGACCAGCAAGUUCUGGGGAAUACCUGCAUUUGUUCCAGGCCCUGACAGAUCUCUUUGCCUCUCUGAGCCUCAGUUUCCUCAUCUGUUCAAGGGGAUCAUAGCGAUGUCAUGAGGAAUCAGUAGAUAAGGUGUGUAAAGGCUUCUGAGCACAGGGCCCAGCUUCAGUGAAUGUUGAGUAAGGCUUCAGUGAUUGUUAGCGCUUCAUCUUGUUCUAUGUUUGAAACCAGAAGUUGCGCACCUGUGGUCUGUGGAGGUGUUUUGCUUGGCCUGCCUAGUGUGUUUUCAAGUACAUGAAUUUACUGAUACUAUUUCAAGAUUGGGAGAUUUCACAUGAGAAGCUAGAUCUCCAGCUUCUCUUGAGAAAUGGGAGAUUUGGCAACAUGGGACCCACAUUCUCGGGUGAAGAGCGAUCUUUGACUUUAGAUGGGGAUUGUACUUUUAACAGCUCACUCAUGCCCCCGUAACCCCUGUCAGAUCCCUAUGGGAAGGAAGGAAGCCAGUAUUUACUGAGCAUCCUACUGUUUGUCACAGAACACCUCAAGAGCUGUGCCUACAUAUUGCAUUUAAUCUUUACCAUAAGCUGUUAGUACCCUUAUUUUGCCAGUGAGGAAAUAGAGGCUCAGAGAGUCCAGUUAAGUUGUCUAAGAUCAUCACACUGUUGGUAGGUGGUACACCCAGGACUGCCAAUCUGGACGUAGGUUUCUUUUUCUUUUUAGGGCUUUCUUUCCACCCAUCACCUAGUGCCGGUUCUGUAGAGUAACCUUGGUUAUGACCCAUUGAUGAUCAGAAGAUGGAUGUAGGUGUGUGGUUCUCAUUCUUUACCUUCAGACCGCUGGGAGGCUGCGGAGUUAGAGUAGAGGUCUAGAAAUCAAUGUGAACACCCAGAAUUCUUGGACUAAAAGCCUUCCUUCUAUAUAGAAGAUAAUCACAGUUUUAAAUGUUUUACUGUGAAAAUGUUCAAAUAUAUACAAUAAAGAAUAAUAGCAUUAAUAAACACCCAUAUCUGAAUUACCCAGAUUCAACAAUUAUCAAUAUUUCACCCCAUUUGCCUCAUCUACAUUUUUUUCUUUUUUUUGAGAUGGAGUCUUGCUCUGUCGCCCAGGCUGGAGUGCAAUAAUAUGAUCUCAG
rnacentral:lncRNA from 10 species